rnacentral:rRNA from 1 species
AGUGGCAGACGGGUGAGUAACAUGUGGGUAUCUACCCUUUGGCCUGGAAUAACACGAGGAAACUUGUGCUAAUACCGGAUAAGUCUUUACGGAGAAAGCUUUAUGCACCAUUGGAUGAGCCCGCACUUGAUUAGUUUGUUGGUAGGGUAAUGGCCUACCAAGACUAUGAUCAAUAGCUGAUUUGAGAGGAUGAUCAGCCACAUUGGGACUGAGACACGGCCCAAACUCCUACGGGAGGCAGCAGUGGGGAAUCUUGCACAAUGGAGGAAACUCUGAUGCAGCGAUGCCGCGUGAGUGAAGAAGGCCUUUGGGUUGUAAAGCUCUUUCGUCGGGGAAGAAAAUGACUGUACCCGAAUAAGAAGGUCCGGCUAACUUCGUGCCAGCAGCCGCGGUAAUACGAAGGGACCUAGCGUAGUUCGGAAUUACUGGGCUUAAAGAGUUCGUAGGUGGUUGAAAAAGUUGGUGGUGAAAUCCCAGAGCUUAACUCUGGAACUGCCAUCAAAACUUUUCAGCUAGAGUAUGAUAGAGGAAAGCAGAAUUUCUAGUGUAGAGGUGAAAUUCGUAGAUAUUAGAAAGAAUACCAAUUGCGAACGCAGCUUUCUGGAUCAUUACUGACACUGAGACGAAAGCAUGGGUAGCGAGAGGAUUAGAUACCCUCGUAGUCAAUGCCGA